rnacentral:Y_RNA from 1 species
GGUUGGUCCGAGUACAGUGGUGUUUACAACUAAUUGAUCACAACCAGUUACAGGUUCCUUUGUUCCUUCUCCAUUCCCACUGCUUCACUUGACCAGCCUAAA